GUUGGGUGCGGCUUCAGGUUCCUAUAAAGACAGUGACUCAGCGCUUUGAGUCCGGAAAUCAGUGAGGAAAAAAUUAGCAGAAGAGACGCUUUGCAGAGUCGACCCUCUGCAACAACCCAACCACCAGAGCACUAUGGCGAUGAAGGUUCACGUUGAAUACUGCGGAGGAUGAGGCUUCAGAAGCCGCUUCACGCGGCUAGAAGCGGCCAUCAAGAAGGCCAUCCCCGACGCGGAGGUGACGGGGUCCGUGGGUCGUGCCCAGAGUUUUGAGGUGACAGUUAACGGACAACUGGUGCACUCCAAACUGCAGACCGGGAGUUUCCCUGACGAUACCAAGGUGGUGAGGCAGCUGAUGGCGAUGAUGGCGAUGAAGACCCCCCAGGCCUACCAGCGGCCCCCCCAGACCGCCCAUAGGGGGGGGUGACGUUAAAGAACAUUUCCUUACUGGAAAUGUUAAGGCUGUUUCCUAUCAGAAGAGAACAUCUGUUUUUAUUGUCCAUUGAUCCGUUUGUUUUCUCGUUCGACCAUAAACCAGGAAGAGAGAGUGGUGAGUUCAAAGUCAAUCAGGUUUUAAUCUCGUUCGGAGGCCUGUGGUCCUGAAGGAUGAGCAGGCCUCCUGAACAACGAUAUGAAAACAGAACUUCCUCCUCUCUAGCCACAGUCAUGUUAUCCAUCGUUUAAACUGACUGAGUAGUAUUCCCUUUAAGUUGGCCCCUCAUGUUAUCCAAGGGCUCCAACGCUGAGAUUCAAAUGUUCCUUCAAUAUCAAAGGAACAGAUUUUGUGUUCUGUGAUGAGUUCAGCCGCCCCCCCGACCCAGCAGCUCCUUAGUGGGCCACUGAGCCGCCUGUUAAUGACUGAUCACACUUAAAAACUACGUUUGGUGUGACCAUGAUGCUUCAGGUAGUCUUUGUGAACACCCCCUAAGGGAGCCCGCUGUGUCUCCUGUCUCUCUAACUCUCUCUCACUUCUAACUCGCUCCAACUCUUUAUGACGUACACAUCGCUACUUUCCUUUCUGCUUCUGAUUAGACACCAAACAUGGAACAUGGGAUGACCAUGCAUUCAUUAAACAAGCACUGUUUGUAUGUAUAAUUAUAUGAUGUCUACAUACAGUUUUAAUUUCCUUAAAAGCAUAAGUAAGACUAUACUUUCUGUAUUAGCCUAUUGUGAAAGCACUAAGCUUUUGACAGCAUCAAUAAAGCAAUUCAAAU